CCUACGGGAGGCAGCAGUGAGGAAUAUUGGUCAAUGGACGAGAGUCUGAACCAGCCAAGUCGCGUGAAGGAUGACUGCCCUAUGGGUUGUAAACUUCUUUUAUAUGGGAAUAAAAUGUUCCACGUGUGGGAUUUUGUAUGUACCAUAUGAAUAAGCAUCGGCUAACUCCGUGCCCGCAGCCGCGGUAAUACGGAGGAUCCGAGCGUUAUCCGGAUUUCUUGGUUUUACAGGGAGCGUAGGUGGAUUGUUAAGUCAGUUGUUAAAGUUUGUGGCUCAACCGUAAAAUUGCAGUUGAUACUGGCAGACUUGAGUACAGUAGAGGUGGGAGGAAUUCGUGGUGUAGCGGUGAAAUGCUUAGAGAUCACGAAGAACGCCGAUUGCGAAGGCAGUUCACUGGACUGCAACUGACGCUGAGGCUCGAAAGUGUGGGGAGCAAACAGGAUUAGAUACCCGUGUAGUC
rnacentral:rRNA from 1 species